rnacentral:pre_miRNA from 1 species
UGGUGUGUGAUAAAGUGCUUACAGUGCAGGUAGUGAUGAUUACCUGGUCUACUGCAGUGUGAGCACUUCUUUCCCACGCCG